AUUCAGUUUAAGAGUCAAGUUCAAGGUUAAAAAGCGAGUAAAAUUCAGUUUUAAAGGUUGAUUGAUUGUUGUGAUAGUUAAUUAGAAAGCUAACAAAGAUAAGUGUGUGAUAAUCAAUGGUGAGAAUGCCUUGGGUUCUUGCUUGACUAAUUCAGUUCUAAUCAACCUAUUCUAUCCACAAAACUCCGAGUCUCUCCUUGAUGUUCUAGCCUAAUCAAUCAUCUAUCGAUGCCUCGCAUAGACAAUCCUCUCAAGCCAAAAGAUAAGCACAAUUCCUUGAUAACCUAAACAUUUGCUAAAGGCAUUAAGCAUGCAAUUCAGGCCAACAAACCCCAACCCUUCCUCUAUUCCUAGUAGCAAGUAUAGAAGAGGUAAUCCCACAACAAGUCCCUAAUCUAUAACAAACUUUCGUUCUAUUAUAGAAAAGUAUAAAGCUAGCACAUGUUCUAACUUGAAACAUAAAGCAUGGAUAUGGGAUUCAAGGGUUUACUCAGAGGAAUCAUGAAUAGAAAUAGGAAUUAAGAUUAAAACAUCAUAAGUCUUACAAAGAACCCAAAGAAAAAGGGGUUUAGCCAAGCAUGGCUAUGGAAUCCAUACAAGAAGAUAAAGAUGAAACCUGAAACAUAGAGCUUAGAGAAAGCUCCUCAAGCUCCAGAACUCAAACCCUCUCUUCUAACUUAUGAAAAUAUGAUAAAAUGACAAAAGGUUCCAAGAGAAAUGUCUAAAAACCAAUUUAUAGCCAAAACAGUCGAGUUUGGGCGCUCAGGCGCCAAUUCAGAGCGCCUGAGCGCCAAUUCCAGCCCAGAAACAUGCUCUCUGGAGGUGUCUGGCGCCUAGGCGCAAAUUCCCAGCGCCUAGGCGCCAAUUCCAAAAGCUUCAGGAAAUUGCACUAGCGCCUAGGCGCCAAUUCCCAGCGUCUAGGCGCUCAAGCUUCGCUGGAACAGACUUUUCAGCUCCUUGUAACUCCUCUUCAAGUCUCUUUAAGCCCUCCUUCAAUUCCAAGCUUCUUGGCCUUCCUCAUCCAUCAGUUUCAGACCUGGUAACUUAGGCACAAAGUAAAAGAGAUAUCUAGAAGCUUCAAAGAGUUAAUUAGCAAGGAGAACCUUCAAUUAAAAAAGAAAAGAUAUGCAAGUCCUCUAGCUAAUCAAAAUGCACGAAAGGUCCUUAUAAAACUACAAAAAUACAAAAACAAAAUAAAAACACAAAGAAAGAUAAAAAUGCAUGAUAAUGCAUGAAACACUACAUGAGACUCAACAAAAAGACUCGAAACAAACUAGGAAAUGACCCUAAAAACACUACUAAACUAGGGUCAUCACCCCACUAUACUCAACGACAGCUCGCCCUCGAGCGUAAAAUACACUCGCUUGCCCUCAAGCGCAAGAAAUGCUCCCAAACAAGUGCUCUCAACAAGGAAUACUUAAAAGAAAACCGGGGGAUUUAGCAACUACUACUGGUUCCAAAAGAAAGACACAACAAUCCACUUCAUGCAACUUUUAGACAAAGGAGAGUGUAGAGUCCAUCAUGAGAAGCAUAUAGAUCUAAAAUUCCUAGGAUGAGAUAUAUAUUAAGUGCACUGAGCACACAAGCAGUUCAUAGGUUCUAGAUAUCAUUCACUCAAGAGCAACCAAGAUUAAACAUGCACAAAUUCAAUGAGACUUCAAAGGGUUGAAAUGUUGGCUCGGUGAAGUACAAGGUGGUUGGUCCCUAAGGUAGUCUAAAGCUUCAAGCAUCUUGAGUGUGGUUCUAUUAGUAACCCCGAAGCUUUCAACAACAAACCUUUUAAGCACAAGUCUCUUGACCCCUUUUUCAACUUUAUUUUCUACUAUUUUUUCUUUCUUUUCAACUCCAACUUGAUUAGGAGUCUUUUUUUUCUUUUUCUUUUUCUUCUUUUUUUACAUUUGGGGCAAGAAACAUUCCCAAUUUUAAUUACUAGCUCCAACACAAUGCAAGGACCAACACUCCCCAAAAAUCCAACCUAUCAUCCAUCCCAAUCAUUUAGCUAACAAAGAAAUCUUCAAUUGGCUCAAAAGGGACAACUAGGGACAAAUGUUCAAGCCAACAAACUCUGAGGCUCAAAAACCUACAAGUCUCAAGAAUUGUACAAGUAUCACAAAGCAUGCAAAGAGUGAAAUCAAUACAGAACCAAGAAGUACAAGUGAGUCAGGAUCCUCCAGGGAAAUUUUAUGGUGAAGGGUCAAAGAUGGACCCUUAUGGACUCACACCAACUCUAUCCUUAAGAAACACUCGGAAGACCGAAGUAUCCUCCUCUCUUCCCCAAAGCAUGCAAUCACUCAUCCCCAAAGACAACACAAGUAUUCACAAAAACAUUUUCAAAACCAGCACAAGCUAGAGAGCAUAACUAAGGGCAAAAACAUGUGAGUAUAGGGAAGUAAAGACCCCAAAAACGACUCUAACUUACUAUGCAUGAUGAAACAGAAAAGAAAGUUCUACAAAGAGAAAAUAUGCUAAAAAUGCAUGAAUUAACUUAAAGGAAAGAGAUACACCUCCUCUUCAAGGCAAGCACGGAGGCUAUAGAACCGCCUCCCACUAUUGAGUUGCAUGCUCUCUCCUCCUGCAAAAUGCAACAAACAAACAAGCGAAAUAAAACCAGACUUGGGUUGUCUCCCAAGCAUCCCUAAGUUAUAGUCCUAGGUGGACUCUCCUUCCUUUGAUGUUAGGAAGGAAAUUCCUUACCAUCAAUCUUUCUUCCACAUGUGCAAGGUAGGAACCUUGCACAAAACCUUUGGAACAACUCCUCCCAAGAGAGGGCAUCAUCCAAAUCAUCGUACCAAAUCCUUGCUCCCCUCUUCAAGGAAUGAAGGAAAAGCUUAAUCUUCAGCUCAUCACUAAUCACACCUUCCAUCUUUACAAGGUGACUAGCUUGAGUGAAUCGGGCCAUGUGGGCUUGGAAAUUCUCAUCUUUAGACCCCCCAUACUUGUUUUCACUAACAAGCUUGAUGAGAGCUUUAUUAAGCUCAACAUCUUUUUCACUUACCUUGGGGGUCUCCUUUGAAGACCUGGACAAGCUUUUGAUCAUAUCACAAACAAAAUUAUCAUUAAGGUUAGUUUGUGGACUAGGAUUGAAAACUGAAAAUCUUACCUUGUCCUCACCAACUCUGAGAAUGAGCUGACCCUUAUCAACAUCAAUUUUAGCCCCACCAGUGGCUAAGAAGGGUCGGCCUAGAAUGAGAGGAAUCUUUGUAUCCUCUUCCAUGUCCAGCACCACAAAGUCCACAGGGAACACAUACUUAUCCACCUUCACCAUAACAUCUUUUUCAAUCCCAUAUGGUGUUUUUAGGGAUCGGUCCGCCAUUUGUAAGGAAAGCAUGGUCGGGGUGACCUCUCCUAAGUUCAGCCUUCUAAACAUGCUAAGCGGCAUCAAGUUGAUGCUCGCUCCCAAAUCACACAAGGCUUCAACAACAGUCAACCCCUCAAUCUCCACUGGGAUAGUAAAACUCCCGGGAUCCCUUCUCUUCUUAGGCAUUUUUCUUUGCAAAAUGGCACUACACUCCUCGGUCAUCAUGAUAGUUUCUUCAACCUCACUCAACUUCCUUCUCUUAUUUAAAAUGUCCUUCAUGAACUUAGCAUAGAUAGGCAUUUGUUCCAAAGCAUCGGAAAAAGGGAUAUCAAUAUGGAGUUUCUUAAAAACAUCCAUAAAUUUUGAAAACUUUUUAUCCAAAUUCUUCUUAACCAAAGCCUUGGGGAAUGGAAUCUUACUAAGUUCAGGAGAAGGAGUGCUCACAACUCCAGCUUUCACAGGUUCACUCACUCUCUUCUCCGUAGCACCCUCAUAUUCUUUCUGUACUUUCUCAUUUUUCUCUCCCUCGACUUGUUUUUUUGACUCAUGUAACACUCUCUCACUCCUAGUGGUAACUACAGCAGAAUUUUCUUGUUUAGACAAAAUUAAAGAAUCGGGAGAAAACUUACCUUGAGGUAUCUCGGCCAUUUGCUUAGCUAGCUGGCCAAGUUGGUUCUCCAAGUUCUUGAUAGCCGCCUCUUGGUUCUUAUGGUUGUUGUUCAUGCGGUUGAUGCAACUCUCCAAUAGCUCCUCUAAACUCCUCUUGCAAUUCACCUUUCCAACAACUUGUGUUUGGACAAGAGGUUCAUGAUUUGAGGAUGGAACUAUGCUUCCUUGAGCUAUAGCUUUGGCUUCAUUGCUCUCAGCAUUGACAGUACACAAGUUACUAACAUGAGUUCCACCACAAGACUUGCACUCCACACAAGUCAUUCUUGCACCAACAGCCUUGGUCUCCUUAAUAUGCAUUCGAAUCUCCGCCACUUGUUCGGUGAGUUGCUUGUUGGAGGCCAAGAGCUUGUCAUAAGAUUCCACUUCAAACUUAUUCCUUCGGGUUUGGCGAUCAUUUUCAGAGUUCAUGGCUCUCGCUGCCAUCUUUUCUAUUAAGUCAUACCCCGCUUGUGGGGGAAGAGCAUCGAACUCGCCAUUUGAAGCCGCAUCUAGGCCAAACCUCCAAGAGUAUUGUAGACCAUCAUAAAAUGUUGCAACCAAUUCAGCUUGGGUGAGAUUGUGUUGAGGACAUUUCCUCAAUAGCUUCUUGAAGCGCUCCCAAGCUUCAUAGAUAUUUUCCUCAGUGGUUUGCACAAAAUUCAUAAUGUUUUUUUUCAGCUUCCUCAAAAGAGCUCUUGGGAAGAACCUUGUUGUGAAUUUUUCUGCUAGGUCUUCCCAAGUAGUGAUACUCCCUUGAGGUUGUGAAUUCAGCCAUUCCUCCGCUGCAUCCUUCAAAGAAAAUGGAAACAAGCUCAACCGAAUUGCAUCCGUCGGAACAUUGUUCACACGGUAAGUGUUGCAAUUCCGGAUGAACCUCUCCAUGUGAGCAUGUGGAUCCUCCAAAGUACCUCCACCAUAUUGGUUUUGGCUCACCAAGUUGAUGAAUGUCGGUCUCAACUUAAAGUUUCCCACUCCCUCGGGAAAGACAAUGCUCCCGGGAUAGUCAUAACUCAUGGUAGCCGAAGUGAGUUCCCGAAGAGACCGGUUGGCAUUCUCAACUUCUUGUUCACAUAAUCGGAGGGUGAUCCCCUCUUGGAUUCUUGCCUCGAUAUGGACUUGCAUCUCCUCCUCCGUCAUUUGGCCACCCAUGGUGGUGUCUCUUGUGAGAGUAGCCUGAAAGUUUGAUACUGAACAGAGAAAGAUUAGUAGCACCAAUUCUAGACAAGUUCAAAACAAAAAUAAAACCACAAACUAAAAACUUAAACCAAAAACCACAAACAAUUCCCCGGCAACGGCGCCAAAAACUUGUUGGUCAAUCUGCAAGUGCACAGAUAUCUCCGGGUUUUAAAUUAUCGAACCACAGGGAAUUGGUGUGGCAAUUCAGUUUAAGAGUCAAGUUCAAGGUUAAAAAGCGAGUAAAAUUCAGUUUUAAAGGUUGAUUGAUUGUUGUGAUAGUUAAUUAGAAAGCUAACAAAGAUAAGUGUGUGAUAAUCAAUGGUAAGAAUGCCUUGGGUUCUUGCUUGACUAAUUCAGUUCUAAUCAACCUAUUCUAUCCACAAAACUCCGAGUCUCUCCCUGAUGUUCUAGCCUAAUCAAUCAUCUAUCGAUGCCUCGCAUAGACAAUCCUCUCAAGCCAAAAGAUAAGCAAAAUUCCUUGAUAACCUAAACAUUUGCUAAAGGCAUUAAGCAUGCAAUUCAGGCCAACAAACCCCAACCCUUCCUCUAUUCCUAGUAGCAAGUAUAGAAGAGGUAAUCCCACAACAAGUCCCUAAUCUAUAACAAACUUUCGUUCUAUUAUAGAAAAGUAUAAAGCUAGCACAUGUUCUAACUUGAAACAUAAAGCAUGGAUAUGGGAUUCAAGGGUUUACUCAGAGGAAUCAUGAAUAGAAAUAGGAAUUAAGAUUAAAACAUCAUAAGUCUU
rnacentral:lncRNA from 1 species